ACAGAGCCCCCGGACGGGAGGCUCCCGGACGAGACGCGCCGUACCCGGUCUGAAAAGACGACGCUCC
rnacentral:ncRNA from 1 species